GCGAACGGGUGAGUAACACGUGGGUGAUCUGCCCUGCACUUCGGGAUAAGCCUGGGAAACUGGGUCUAAUACCGGAUAUGACCUCCUGUUGCAUGACUUGGGGUGGAAAGAUUUAUCGGUGCAGGAUGGGCCCGCGGCCUAUCAGCUUGUUGGUGGGGUAAUGGCCUACCAAGGCGACGACGGGUAGCCGACCUGAGAGGGUGACCGGCCACACUGGGACUGAGACACGGCCCAGACUCCUACGGGAGGCAGCAGUGGGGAAUAUUGCACAAUGGGCGAAAGCCUGAUGCAGCGACGCCGCGUGAGGGAUGACGGCCUUCGGGUUGUAAACCUCUUUCAGCAGGGACGAAGCGCAAGUGACGGUACCUGCAGAAGAAGCACCGGCUAACUACGUGCCAGCAGCCGCGGUAAUACGUAGGGUGCAAGCGUUGUCCGGAAUUACUGGGCGUAAAGAGUUCGUAGGCG
rnacentral:rRNA from 1 species